GAACUGUAUCGGUUGCUUCCUGCUUUACUGGUAAUUCACAGGCAGUUUCAAGUGAAUUGGUGGACACCUGGCAUUCCUGAGAGUCAUCCAUCCUAUAAUUCCUCCUGAAUAAUUUCUGGUUGAAUGCAGGUUCAAUCCUAUUCCCCAGUACAAGAAGGAAAUUCAGAAAGGAGGUCUCCAGGCGUCCGUCUAUAGGCUUCUUUUGAAGACCCUGACCUCGAGUUACACGCUGACUUUGGUUCUUUGCGGAAAUGGGAUAUGUUCUCAGGGCCUCACGACUGGCCGCUUUUCAAUAGGACAAGGACGCGACCUGGAAGACUAGCACGCCUUUAGGGUGCCGGAUUUUCAUGGCUUUGGAGGUGAGUGGAGUCAAGGCCAGUGCCGCUGUCGUAGGAGUACAUGGAAGAUUGAAAGCAGCGAGCUGGCUGCUGGCUGUGUGCCCAGAGGCCCGAGUUCUUUGGGCACAGAGCUCGGAAAGAAUGACACAACAUACAUUUAACACCAUAAAUCAGCGAGUUGUUUAGUUAUGUCUUCCAUCUCGCUGUGAAACGGGGACAUCUCUUUUUUCCUUAUUAGGGAGAGAGAGAGAGCCUGUGUUAAGCCAAUUACUGGGUGAAUGAGUAGUCCUUGGGGUACUACAAGUCUGUGUCUUUAUUGA